AUUAUUGGGGCGUAGAGGGCUCGCAGGCGGUUUCUUAAGUCUGAUGUGAAAGCCCCCGGCUCAACCGGGGAGGGUCAUUGGAAACUGGGAAACUUGAGUGCAGAAGAGGAGAGUGGAAUUCCACGUGUAGCGGUGAAAUGCGUAGAGAUGUGGAGGAACACCAGUGGCGAAGGCGACUCUCUGGUCUGUAACUGACGCUGAGGAGCGAAAGCGUGGGGAGCGAACAGGAUUAGAUACCCUGGUAGUCCACGCCGUAAACGAUGAGUGCUAAGUGUUAGGGGGUUUCCGCCCCUUAGUGCUGCAGCUAACGCAUUAAGCACUCCGCCUGGGGAGUACGGUCGCAAGACUGAAACUCAAAGGAAUUGACGGGGGCCCGCACAAGCGGUGGAGCAUGUGGUUUAAUUCGAAGCAACGCGAAGAACCUUACCAGGUCUUGACAUCCUCUGACAACCCUAGAGAUAGGGCUUUCCCUUCGGGGACAGAGUGACAGGUGGUGCAUGGUUGUCGUCAGCUCGUGUCGUGAGAUGUUGGGUUAAGUCCCGCAACGAGCGCAACCCUUGAUCUUAGUUGCCAGCAUUCAGUUGGGCACUCUAAGGUGACUGCCGGUGACAAACGGGAGGAAGGUGGGGAUGACGUCAAAUCAUCAUGCCCCUUAUGACCUGGGCUACACACGUGCUACAAUGGACAGAACAAAGGGC
rnacentral:rRNA from 1 species